AUUUUUUGCGCUUCUUCUCUCUUUUUUUUCUCUCUUCGUGGUUUCUUCAAAAAAACUGCAAAAUAAGAACGAACGCUGUUUUGGAUCUUAGUUCUUCCGAACAUGAAAAGAAAAAAAAA
rnacentral:ribozyme from 15 species